rnacentral:rRNA from 1 species
AGUGAACGCUGGCGGCGUGCCUAAUACAUGCAAGUCGAACGGAAUUUAAAAGAGCUUGCUCUUUUAAAUUUAGUGGCGCACGGGUGAGUAAUAUAUAGCUAAUCUGCCCCUUGCUGGAGGACAACAGUUAGAAAUGACUGCUAAUACUCCAUACUCCUUUUUACCAUAAGAUAAAUCGGGAAAGAAUUUCGGCAAGGGAUGAGACUAUAUCGUAUCAGCUAGUCGGUGGGGUAACGGCCUACCGAGGCUAUGACGCGUAACUGGUCUGAGAGGAUGAUCAGUCACAUUGGAACUGAGACACGGUCCAAACUCCUACGGGAGGCAGCAGUAGGGAAUAUUGCGCAAUGGGGGAAACCCUGACGCAGCAACGCCCCGUGGAGGAUGACACUUUUCGGAGCGUAAACUCCUUUUGUUAGGGAAGAAUAAUGACGGACCUAACGAAUAAGCACCGCAUCCC